AUCCAGCUAACAAGUCCAAAAUAGGACGAAACGCGAGUCAAACUGGAU
rnacentral:hammerhead_ribozyme from 1 species